CUCCAGUGCUGCUGUGCCAGCAUAAAUUUUAAUAAAAUACCAAUAUAAAUUUAGUCUUUUUACCCCUUGAAAUGUUACUCUAUAUAGAAUGAGACUCACGGGCCUUUAAAUAACAGUCUAUUCAAGCAUCACAAUGAGCUAUUUUGCCCACGUAAGUAGAUACUUUAUUCCAGCAACUUGAAAACGAUUCAGAGAGCUGCCUUGCCCUGCUCUGAGCCACAGAGCCACUCCACAUCUCCACAAACUGAUUUGUCAGGAACCUGUCUGACACAGCACAGAUUUCAACUGAGAUCAGCCUGAGAGAUGUGUAUAUUCCUUCAUAUUCAAUGUGUGCCCAGUGAAUUCAUCUCCAGAGCAGAGCCAAAGGCUCCACAAAAACCCUUCACUGUUUGCUGCAGCUGCAAGCAAGAAUGUCUCAGAGCAUCACAACUUCAUGAUGAGGCUCCUGCCUUCCCCUCUGGGGCCUCCAAGCUGUCCAGGUGAUAACUGUGGCAAUGACAGAGUAACUGAGGCUGGAGAGGACCUCCAUGUGCUUGUCCAACCUGCUCAGGCCAGGGUCCCAC
rnacentral:lncRNA from 1 species